UACGGGGGGGGCAAGCGUUGUUCGGAAUUACUGGGCGUAAAGGGCUCGUAGGUGGCCAACUAAGUCAGACGUGAAAUCCCUCGGCUUAACCGGGGAACUGCGUCUGAUACUGGAUGGCUUGAGUUUGGGAGAGGGACGCGGAAUUCCAGGUGUAGCGGUUGAAAUGCGUAGAUAUCGAGGAGGAACACCGGUGGCGAAGGCGGGAUCUCUGGGCCGAUGACUGACGCUGAGGAGCGAAAGCGUGGGGAGCGAACAGG
rnacentral:rRNA from 1 species